UCCCUACUUGCUUGCUAAUGAAGGGGAUCACGGUGUGACGGGGGACACUUGGUUGGUGUACCAGGGAGAUGGAAGCGGAGCAGGAGAUGACGAGGAGGCGAGUGUUGGUGACGUUCGACGUGGACGGGACGCUGAUCCGGAGCACCGGCAGCGCCUCCAACCAGCUCCAUCGCCAGGCCUUCGCUCACGCCUUCCUGCGCGUUUUUGGCCUCCAAAACGCCACCAUCGACGCCGUCCAGCAUCAUGGCCAAACAGAUCCCAUUAUACUUGUGAAUACAGCCAUUCACUAUGGUGUAUCUUCCAAUGUGGCUGCUGAAAGACUUCCUGAUAUGAAGACGGAGAUGCUUAAAUAUGCUAGAGAACAUGUUGAAGAAAUUGGAGAGGGGCUUGAGGUUCUUCCUGGUGUUGCUUCUUUGUUGGAUGCUUUGUCUUCAAGUAAUGUGGUUAUUGGACUGGUCACAGGCAAUCUAGAAGAGAUUGCAUGGAUGAAGAUGGAUGGAUUGGGCAUCAGAAAAUAUUUUACAGUUCCAAACUUUGGAGGAUUUGGAAGUGAUCACAUUGAUCGAGGGCAUUUAGUGAAGAUUGCAGCUGACAGAGCCAAAGAACUAUGUCCUGCAGGAUUUGACUUACGUGUGCAUGUUGGAGAUACACCAAAUGACAUCAAAGCUGCAGAAUAUGGAGGAGCGCUUGCAAUAGGAGUAUGUACAGGUAUAUUUACUGAGGAGGAGCUGAAGAAGUCUAGCUGUGGCAGUGCAAUCAUACUCUCUGAUCUUACUGAUAGCACAACUUUCAUGAAUCUGCUGGGUAUCGAAGGCUAAUUUAUCUGCAGUCCCCAGAAAAAGGAUCUCUUCUUACAAUUCUCCUCACAAACCAGGAAAUUGGUAAUGAGCUCCCUCCAGGAUGAGUCCUUGAUUGUGACUGCAUGUGCUGAAUGCUGCCUGUCCUGUCUCCAGUGUGCCAGCACAUCUAUAUGCAAUUGGCAGAACAUGAUUGGGACGUGAUCAACGCGGUCAUGGCUCCCCACAUGGAUAUGUAUAAUUGCCAGGUAACAUUUGCUUUCGCUUUUUGAAAUUAACCAUCAUGAUCAUAGGCGUGUUUCUUUCGAUUUUUGCAUGUAGAUUCUUGAUAGAGAUGAAGGAAGCUCCAUGAAUGGCUGUUUGACACACCAACCACUAUGAAACCUUGUGUCAAAAGACAAUAUGAGAUGGAUGGAGUGGGUGAUCUGCCUAGCUGGUUUACUUGGUUUUCAAAGUUGAUGGCUUAGCUGGCCAUGCCUCAAUCUUGGGUGUCACCCAUGUGACUAACUUGGCUUAUUCAUGCCAAGUCAUGAUGAUGAUUGCCUCUAUGCAAAGUUUAGAUCUGAGAGGUCAUUUUACUUUGAAGAUAUUCUGCUAAGGAACUGCAUGUGAUUAGUAGAUGUCAUCUCUGCUACUAGUUCUCAACUGUGUGUGCUCCUGCACCAAAUAGCAUGCAGAUCCAAGUUGUCUGACAUUGUCUGGAAUCAAUGCUGCAAAUGAUGCUAUCUGUAAAGGAUGGACCAUUAGGAAUUCCAUUGUGGAAUUUGGAUCUUCCCCCCAGUGUGUCUGUCACUGGUACAAAAAGUUUGACUGGUACAUAGAAACUAUCUGCUGAACAAAACCAUGCUGCAUUGUGUUUUACCUCCUUUUAUUAUGAAUAUUGAUUGUUUGUCUC